UGUGGUUUUCCUGCAGAUGUGAGAGUGUCUGUGGUCUGCAGGUCUCCUCCUCCGAGCCCCACGGCUCCACGCCGGAUGUCUGCGGGACAGAGACCUGCUGGGAGAGGUGCUCCUGCGCCUCCGUCUCGCCCCGGACCCUUGGGGCCCCUGAACAACAGCGCUGACAGCCCACAGGUUCCCAGCCGGCCCAACCGAGCACCUCCCAGCAUUCCCAGCCGGCGUCCUCCUCCUUCCCCGACGCGUCAGCUUCCCCCGUGAGCGGCGUCUGUCGUCUGCAUGUGCAGUGAUCUGUGUGUGUGAGAGCGGUGCUUGUGUUGUCUGUCUGUGCCUCCAGUCUCCUCCAUCUUGACACAACCCUCCUGAAGCACUUCUAGCGAUGCAUGCUCGUUUACUGUUGACCUGCGUGUUCACAUACUUGUGUCAUACUAUACCAUAGUGUGUGAGCGGCAUAUAUUAGUGCAAGUCUGGAAGUGUGUGUGUGUGUGGAUAAAUUAAAAGAUAAAGGUGAGAUAUUUGUCUUUACAUUUAAAUUAUUAAUGUUUUUAUUUCGUAAUGUUGUUUGUCAUUGAAAAGGCUCAGAGGAGACCUUUAUUUCUUACUUGUGAACACUGGUUUUGCCUGUUUUGUUGUUACUCGCAGCAAACACAGGCAUCUUUAGAAGUCAUUGUCUGCAAACACUUAAAUGUGCACCAAAAUAUGAAAUAUAUUCAUCUUCUUGAAUAGCGCCACCUGCUUGCCAUACUAGUUGAUGACAGUUAAUCCAAAAUGUUGAACCAAAGUACCUGGAACUGCAGUAUACAGCUGUUCUGCUGUGUAGAAACUCAACUCUAUGUACUGUACAUGUUUCAGAUGAACACAACACCAGACAGUCAUCCAUUACUGUGCAAUAAAUCUAGCAGUAGUUUAGUGUCGUGUCUAUCGCUCUGUUCGUCACAUUAGUGAUAUUUAAGCAUUGAUGAUGUUCAUUUGCUAUUGUACUCAUGUUUAGUAACUCCAAGACACAUAGCAUUCUCCAAAAGGACUAAAUAAGGAAUUCAAGACACGUAUGCAGGGAUUCUUGGGAAACGCUGAUGUGUUAUUUUCACGUUCAUUAUUAAAAACAUGAAUAUAUGGAUAUAUUAUCUGCGGGUUUGUGAAUCAGAGACUUUGUGCUUGUUCAAAUGUGUCCUGCAGUAUUUCAUUUACUAGUCUGAUGAC